GCUCCUGGUCUCAAAGGCAGCUGGUCUCUCUAGAGGUUGAAAGGAGCUGGACAGAAGUUUGUAUUACAGGCUCGUAGCACCGGAGGUUUCUGAUGGAGCAGACAACUUGAGGAAGGCCGGCCUUGCUGAACACAGUGGACUGACCGGGUCUGGACCCCUCCCCCACAGGUGACUGUGCACUGCAGCAGAGAGAAGAGGAAGGAGUCAGAAACACUCUACUGAGAUCCUCCCAGAUAGAUAACGUACGUACAUAUUGAUACCUCUACCCGGACUCUGUGAUUAAUGGUGAGGUGGGGAGCACCCGAGUCCUCUGAACUGAACAGCUGUGCAGCAACAUCUGCUGGGUGGAAUGCUGGAAGGACCGCGUCACACACCAAUCCUAGCUAAAGUUUCACCCAAGUCUUCUGAAAAGAAGGGUGCCUCUAGCAUCUGAUAAGUUUAAAAGCGAAGUAUCCUUGGCUGAAUUGCCUGACAUUCUGAGCUUUAGGGACCAUACUACCCCUGAAUAGGAGUACUUAGCACCGUGCAUAGUAAUAGCUUGACAAAUAUUAGCUAUUACAUUGUUCAGAAACAUGAUGUAAGAACCAAAUGAGUAAAGGCUGUGAGCAGCAUUUCUAAAACAGAAAGACUCGAGUGGUAGUUUCCGUAGCAACAGCAAUGACCAACAUUAGCAGUGUAUAACUGGCCUGGUGGUAAGUGUUUUACAUACAUUUUCUGAUGAACAAAAACAAAUCAACUCUCCCAGAUAAUGAUUUUCUAGAUGUGAAAACUGAGGUUUACAGAUUGUUACCUGCCCAGGGCCAAAGAACAAAACCCAUUCUGCCUUCAGAACUUGAGCCCUUAGUUGUUUUUACUUAGACAACCAUUAACAGACUAAGAGCAACUGUUUGCAGAACGCCUCAUUUUUCGACAUCUCACUUGAAU
rnacentral:lncRNA from 1 species